UGGGGAAUAUUGCACAAUGGGGGAAACCCUGAUGCAGCGACGCCGCGUGAACGAAGAAGGUAUUCGUAUCGUAAAGUUCUGUCCUAUGGGAAGAUAAUGACAGUACCAUAGAAGAAAGCUCCGGCUAAAUACGUGCCAGCAGCCGCGGUAAUACGUAUGGAGCGAGCGUUGUCCGGAAUUAUUGGGCGUAAAGGGUACGCUGGCGGUUUAAUAAGUCGAAUGUUAAAGAUCGGGGCUCAACCCCGUAAAGCAUUGGAAACUGAUAAACUUGAGUAGUGGAGAGGAAAGUGGAAUUCCUAGUGUAGUGGUGAAAUACGUAGAUAUUAGGAGGAAUACCAGUAGCGAAGGCGACUUUCUGGACACAAACUGACGCUGAGGUACGAAAGCGUGGGGAGCAAACAGG
rnacentral:rRNA from 1 species